CGCUGCUAUCUGCAGUCGAGCGGACAGAAGGGAGCUUGCUCCCGGAUGUUAGCGGCGGACGGGUGAGUAACACGUGGGUAACCUGCCUGUAAGACUGGGAUAACUCCGGGAAACCGGAGCUAAUACCGGAUAGUUCCUUGAACCGCAUGGUUCAAGGAUGAAAGACGGUUUCGGCUGUCACUUACAGAUGGACCCGCGGCGCAUUAGCUAGUUGGUGAGGUAACGGCUCACCAAGGCGACGAUGCGUAGCCGACCUGAGAGGGUGAUCGGCCACACUGGGACUGAGACACGGCCCAGACUCCUACGGGAGGCAGCAGUAGGGAAUCUUCCGCAAUGGACGAAAGUCUGACGGAGCAACGCCGCGUGAGUGAUGAAGGUUUUCGGAUCGUAAAGCUCUGUUGUUAGGGAAGAACAAGUGCAAGAGUAACUGCUUGCACCUUGACGGUACCUAACCAGAAAGCCACGGCUAACUACGUGCCAGCAGCCGCGGUAAUACGUAGGUGGCAAGCGUUGUCCGGAAUUAUUGGGCGUAAAGGGCUCGCAGGCGGUUUCUUAAGUCUGAUGUGAAAGCCCCCGGCUCAACCGGGGAGGGUCAUUGGAAACUGGGAAACUUGAGUGCAGAAGAGGAGAGUGGAAUUCCACGUGUAGCGGUGAAAUGCGUAGAGAUGUGGAGGAACACCAGUGGCGAAGGCGACUCUCUGGUCUGUAACUGACGCUGAGGAGCGAAAGCGUGGGGAGCGAACAGGAUUAGAUACCCUGGUAGUCCACGCCGUAAACGAUGAGUGCUAAGUGUUAGGGGGUUUCCGCCCCUUAGUGCUGCAGCUAACGCAUUAAGCACUCCGCCUGGGGAG
rnacentral:rRNA from 1 species